CCCGGGCGCACCUCCCCAGGUAGGAGCAGCUGUGGCGGCGCGGUAGGAGCCCCACAGCGUCAGGGCGGGGAGGGCGCUUGGAGAUCCCCCGGGUCGGCCCCCUCCGCACCCCGAUCGACUGAGGCCCGGAGAGUUCAGGAACCGGCUCGGGAGACCUCAGCGCCCGAACUCGGAGUUUUCGGACUUUUCAGGCCUCUGCCAAGGGCUUGGACUCGCAGGUGAAAGGACGGGCUCAUCUCACUUUUUUGUCCUGAGAGGGUGGUCUCUCUGGGCUCCUGCACAGCAGGCUUUUCCGUGGAGGCUGGAAGGGUCUGGAGCUGACUCCAAGACAUGGUCUUUCUCUCCAUAGAUGGUGGAAAGCUGCACUUGAAGUCCAACUCUGUCCUGGGGGAAUAAUUAUGUUCCCUGUCUUGGGAGCCUUUCUUCAGGGAGCUUGAUGGUUCCAACCCACCCAGGAGCCUGGGACAUCUGUGCCCCUGGGCAAUCCCCUGCAGUUUCCUGAUUCCAAGAUGAGGGGGUAGAAUCCGAAGAUCUCCAAGGCCUUGAUGAGUGCUACCAGUCUGCAAAUUCCCAAGCCAAGUUCUUCAAUGAAUCAAAUUUCCUCCAGUAGCCAUUUCUACCAAAGGAGCAACUGUUUUUCCUUCCCACUGACAUGGCUAUGUAUUCGAACUGGAUAUAGGACACUGGGACCUGAAGUCUUGGAGAGGAUGUAAUCACUAAGUCAUCCCAAGGAAGAGUGGGAUGCCUACAAGAGAGGGAUGCCUACAAGAGAGGGAUGCCUAAAUUGGUUACCCCUAAGCCCACCGACUUUUAAGGCAUGUGUAAGUGAGUGGGAACCUGCAAAAAGACUGGAAGGAGCAGCCAGAGAGGUAGGAAGAAAACCAGGAGUGCCUGUUGUCACGGAAGCUGAGGGCAAGGAGGACAGUGGUUGGGAGAAUCUGAUGCAGCAGCUCCAAGGACCAUGGCCCCAGGAACUAGGCACAAGUGACAGGAGACACUUGCUAUGUCUAAACCCAGUGCACCCUCAGCCCGGCCUCGCCUUUUCAAGGACGGCUAGCACAGGCCAUCAUCCUGGCCCACGAUGAAGGUGAGCAUCAAACUCCAAUUUCUGAAGAGGAAACUGAAGACCAGAGAGGGGAGGUAAACAUCCCAAAGUCACCAGCAAGUCAGUGGGAGACACAACUUUAACCCUAGUUUUGACUGGCAGUCUGUGGGCAUCGAGGCCACCAUUCCAUGUACCUAAUGUGUGUCUGGCAGUGUUCCAGGCCUCACCUGCAUCAUUUCUAAUCCUCUCAACCAGAGGAUCAGAGAGGUGGCGUUUUUACCCCUAGUACACAGAGGAGGCGCUUGGGGUUCAGAGGCACGUGUGGAACUAGACCGACGCCACUCACCCCAGCAGGUGGCCAAGCGGGAUGGGAGCGCGGGUCUCCCCAUCCCCAGCGGUGACGGGCGGCGGCUCUUUCCUGAAGAAUGGGGCGGCGUCCGCAACGGGAACCGCUGGAGGCGCUCCCCGGGACCCUGGCCCGCCCUCGCCCCCGCGCAUGCCUGGCCGCUGAGGCGUGAGAGCCGCCGCCCGGGGCCUCCCCCCGCGCGCCUUGCACAACCGGCCCAGGUAAGUGCUGCGUCUCUGGGCAAUUAUCGCCCUCCCGCCGCCGGGGCUGGCCGCGCACAGGGCCCACGGCCAAGGCACUCGCAGCCACCCAAGGAGAGCUGCACGGUCUACGACGGCCGCCAGCGCGCGCGAUUUCACAAGGCCCGGGAGCGGGGACGGGGCGGGGCGGCGGGGGCGGUGACGUCACGCGCAGCCACGCCCCGCGGUUGCCCCGCCCCCGCGCUGGGCCGGGCCUGGGGAGGAAGCGAUGCGAGGCCACCUGUCCACCUGCGCCGCUUCGUCCUUCCUCCUCCUCCUCCCUGUCAGCUGUUUUUCUUUCUUCCCAUCUCCCAUCUCUUCCUUUUUAUCCCUCUCAUUCCUCCCUCUUUCCGUCCGUUUCCUUCUCCCUUCCCCAUCUCCUUCCUUUUAAUUUUCCUUUUCUCCUCCCUCCCGCCUUCCUUCUCUCUGCUUCCUUUCUCUUCCUCCCUCCCUCCUUCUCUUCCGCCUGCUUCCUUUCUUUCUCCUCUCUCUCCUUUCUUCCUUUCCUCCUCUCCUUUUUCUUUUUCUUUUAUUUUCUUUCUUU
rnacentral:lncRNA from 1 species